rnacentral:rRNA from 1 species
AUACGGAGGGUGCAAGCGUUAUUCGGAAUCACUGGGCGUAAAGGACGCGUAGGCGGGUUGGCAAGUCAGAUGUGAAAUCCUACAGCUUAACUGUAGAACUGCAUUUGAAACUGCUAACCUAGAGUAUGGGAGGGGGAGAUGGAAUUAGUGGUGUAGGGGCAAAAUCCGUAGAUAUCACUAGGAAUACCGAAAGCGAAGGCGAUCUCCUGGAACAUAACUGACGCUAAGGCGUGAAAGCGUGGGGAGCAAACAGGAUUAGAAACCCUAGUAGUCC